rnacentral:rRNA from 1 species
GACGAACGCUGGCGGCGUGCUUAUCACAUGCAAGUCGAACGGAAAGGCCCUGCUUUUGUGGGGUGCUCGAGUGGCGAACGGGUGAGUAACACGUGAGUAACCUGCCCUUGACUUUGGGAUAACUUCAGGAAACUGGGGCUAAUACCGGAUAGGAGCUCCUGCUGCAUGGUGGGGGUUGGAAAGUUUCGGCGGUUGGGGAUGGACUCGCGGCUUAUCAGCUUGUUGGUGGGGUAGUGGCUUACCAAGGCUUUGACGGGUAGCCGGCCUGAGAGGGUGACCGGCCACAUUGGGACUGAGAUACGGCCCAGACUCCUACGGGAGGCAGCAGUGGGGAAUAUUGCACAAUGGGCGGAAGCCUGAUGCAGCAACGCCGCGUGCAGGAUGACGGCCUUCGGGUUGUAAACCGCUUUCGCCUGUGACGAAGCGUGAGUGACGGUAAUGGGUAAAGAAGCACCGGCUAACUACGU